rnacentral:lncRNA from 1 species
GCUGUCUGGACAGUGAAACAGCACCUCUCUGUCUCAGUAUGUGUAGCCCAGGUAUCUGAUGCUGUCUGGACAGUGAAACAGCAUCUAUCUGAUGCUGUCUGGACAGUGAAACAGCAUCUAUCUGAUGCUGUCUGGACAGUGAAACAGCGCCCCCUCUGUCUCAGUAUGUGUAGACCAGGUAUCUGAUGCUGUCUGGACAGUGAAACAGCGCCCCCUCUGUCUCAGUAUGUGUAGACCAGGUAUCUGAUGCUGUGUGGUCAGAAAGGGUACUGCAUGUCCUACUCUCUGAUGGAUGGGUUUCUUCCUCUGGUGAGAUGGUUUCAGCAAAGAGGAGAAUCCGUGGGCAGUGUGUGUGUGUGUGUGUGUGUGUGUGUGUGUGUGUGUAGUGUGUGUGUGUGUGUGUGUGUGUGUGUGUCUGUGUGUGUGUGUGUGUGU